UGGGGUAUAGCUCAGUCAUAGAACACUUGCCCAGCACACAAGAGGCCCUGGGUUCAAUCCCCAGUACUGCAG
rnacentral:tRNA from 1 species